CCUUUUUUUUCCUGCGUGUUUCCGCUACGCUAAUCCAUUUCUAGUUCUUGGCCGGGCAUGCGCUCCCGAUCUUCCCUGCUCUAAUUUUCUGCGCUUUAUCUCCAGGUUCUCCCUCUUCCAGGCGCUUUCCUCACCCCCAAUCGCGGCCGAAAUUCCGGACCUUUUCCAGCGGCAGAACCGUUGAGUGCGGCGGCGGCGACCGCCGACCGAGCCAAGAAUCCAUAGAUUUCCUUCUGGCGAGCUAGGCCUUCUCCUAGAGGCGUUUCUUGGGAGCCAUAUUUGGUUCCGGAUCCAUGCUGGCCGACGACAUCUUGGGCUACCCUUUCCCCGCCUAGUAUUAUUUUCUUCGCGAGGGUUUCUUGGUUCCUCGGAGGUCCUCCAAGUUCUUGCCAAUCUGGCCAAUCUGGCCCCAACCCCGGGGCGCGGCCGUGUUAGGGUUCGGGGGGCUGGAUGGGGUCGGUCGUGGAUUUUGUGGAGAUCAGCUCCGACGAGGAGGACCUUCCCAUGCCCAGGAAGCCAGCUGACGACUGGCUUGGGAAGCUUUUGAAUGAUGAUGAGCCAAAUGGAGACGAUUUCUUUGAUCUCGUGGUGAUGGGUGAGUUCUCGCCGCCACAGAAGAAGGCCAACCCCGCCGCCGGCGGUGGUGGUGGUGAUGAUGAGGAUGAUGAUGAUUGUGUGGUUCUAGAUGGUGACCCUGAGAAGGCUAUUACCAUCGGGGAGGACAAGGGGAGUGUGGGAGAUAGCAGCUCCGAUGAAUUGCAGAUAGUUGGGGAGAAAGGACCGGUAGCGUGCAGGGACUUCCCUCAUUCACGCCAUCUAUGUUCUAACUUGCCCUUCAGCGCUACUUCUCAUGUGAAGCAUUGUAGCAUGUGUCACUGUUUUGUAUGUGAUGCUCCAGCUCCAUGUAAUUAUUGGGGUAAAGGUAUCCAGCUUAAUGAUCAUUGUCAUGCUACGGAUAAGGAAUCAAAGUGGAAACAGCUGCGGCAAGCAUUCAAGUCUAAAAGUCUUCCAGCAUCUCGUCCAGAACAAUGCCAGAAUGCCAUCUACCCAACAAUGGCACCAUCCAUUAAGAAGGAUAUACAGUGUCAAGUCGCGUCUUUUGCAAACAGAAGUCCUCUUCUGCAUGUUAUGAGCCAAAACCAACAAAGACACACUUCAGUUAGAGUCUCACUGAAUGUAGGACGGACUAUCAGUACACCAAGAGCAUCCCUUGCGACAAAAGCGGGGAGAAGUACAAACAAUGUCCACACUGCUCAAAACAUUCAUUCACGUGGAAACUUCAAAAGAGUAGGGACAGCUUCUCCAGGUCACACAAUCCGAAAUGCUGACCAAUUUGGUCCUAGUGCUCCAAUCAGUACCCCGUCCCUUAUGAACAAUGCAUUGCCACAUGUAUCACAGCCAGUUCAAGCUAUACCAGGAACUAAUACUACCCAUUUAUCUCAGCAAGUUCAACCUAUACAAAGAACCAAUCCUUUCAGUGGUACUGUCAAGAAAAGUGCCCCUCAGAGAUCUCUCAGUGCGCCAAUAGCAUCUCAGGGGCAACAAGGUCAGCUGGCAGCAUCUUCACAGGCUGCCUCAAAUGUAGUGCACGGCGUAGGACCUCAACUUUCCCGGUGCACCUCGCUUAUGAAUGAGAGCAGACAAUUCCUGCCAGAACCAGUAAUCGAUGUUUCCACACAAAGCUGGCAAGACAUACUUGCUAGUGUGGCAUCGGAUCUGGGAGUAUUAGAUGAUUCUGCUUACAAUACCAGUACUUCACGGUCCCAGCAGCCUGUGAGGACUUCCCCUCAACCUCUGGAUGCCGGUGCAAACCAAGGGGAGGAGGGCCUUCAUGCCGAGUCUGUUGCGUCAGCCGUAAACCUGAUGACUUCUAGUGGGCAUGGCUUGCACAUUCAUACAACAGGUGGUGGUACCCAGACAAAUGCUCCUAAGCAAACUUUGCAUCCUCUGAAUUAUGGUGGCAGUCUUAGUCCAGAUGAAGCUCAUCUUGAUGGUUUUCUAAGCCCCCCUGCAGAUGAAUUAUUGUUAGAAGCUGCUCAUCAGAGGGACUCUUCCGGAUUGGAUUCUACAGGCCUUAUAUUUGACUUUGAACUCGACGACUGGGCUUAAGCAGCACUCUCAAAGUCGGAGGCUGUCCCGUCUUUAGCAUUUGGCGGGCUUCGUGGACAAUAGGACAAUAAAACCGGUGAUGUUACUAGUAGCUGGUCCGUAGGGUUUUCCUUCACAUGAGAGGUGAAGAUGUUCCUUGUACAGUAAUUAACUAGGUUGUGUGGUGGAGAUAUUUUCUUAGAUGGGUUGGUGUUUAACCUGUCGGUCAUACGGGCCUUUUUAUUAGGAGGCCGCAGAUGCUAGUAAUCUUUGUCACUCUGUAAUAGAAGAGCAGAAUUUCCACUACCUAGCUAUUGGUCAUAUUUCUAUGGGCCAUAUACUAUUCUAGCGCCAAAAACGCCUGUUUGUGGUACAUGUUGUUGAUUGCCUGCUGGCAUUGUGAGGCAUUUGAUUAUGCAUGCUUGAUAGUAUUAUUAGGAGAAAAGAGUGCCUCAUGAAAAUUCUUAGCUGGAGAGUAGUCCCUAGACUGGUUAUUCACUAGUUAUUCUGUAAGAAAAUCACUAGGGACUACUCUCCAGCCAAGUUCUUACAGAAUAACUAGGGACAGAGGGUUUGAUUCCCUGGUUCUUAACUAGGUGCAGAAUAACUAGUGCUAAAAAUUCACUAGUCUGUUAUACGAUGCCUACUGAUCGUCAAGGGUUUGAACCUGUGGAAACGAGAAACGCGAGUGUUCGCUAAUCUCAAACAUGUAACGAUCUGUCCCGGGUGUGGUGGACCUCAUCUUUUGCGGAUUGGGACGACUGGGAACAUGCUGGAGCUUCCGGUGGUGACCGAUUUGUGAGGGGUUAGCCUACUCAGUGUGGUGUAGGUGUGAGAGUGGAUGUCCUGCACGCAGCGGCAGCUGCACGCAGUUAUCCGGCCGCACCCGAGUCGCGUGGUGAUGCGUGCAGUUUGAUUUGCUAAAGCGCUAAAGCGGAGAUACAUCGUGUAAUACAGAGAGAUACACUAUGUCGCGUCCGUGCAGUGGGCUCGGUCCAUGGUACUUGUCUGACGCGGACAAGAGACGUGCCCCGCGCGUCGUGCAGAGUGGGCCAUCGUUUCUCUGCACCGCUGGCCCCGGUGGUCUGCCCGGAAAGCUAUGUACGGGACUGGGCCUUGUGAUUAGUCGCAUUUGGUGCGUCUCGCACGAAUUCCUUUCCCCGUCUUGGUGGGCGAAGAGCAAGGUGAGCAGCAAGAACAGCACCGGCGUCGGGGCCGCUUCCUGUUCCGGCUGGCGCUGCUCAUGGCGAAUCUCAGAGCGAAGACGGAGGCGGCGUUGGACUCUGGAACGAUCUCAUCGGCAACGGGUUCAGAGGCGUGCGAGCCGCCGUUUGUUUUGGGCGAGGGCGGUGACGCUUUGCCCGAUUCGGCCGUAGUCUCGCCGGAUUCGGCCGUCGAAGCUCCCUCGCCGGACAUUCGUCGGUUGGAUCGAGGGGUGGGCUUGCUGAUGUCCAGUCCUCCGGGGCUUCCUGCAAGAGCUUCAGUGCUGGUGGCGGAGAUGUGGCGUCCGCAAACCCCGGGUGCGGGACUCCUGCCGUCUUCUCGCGCACAUCCGCCGAGUCCAGCCGCCGCAGUGGCUCUUCGGGUUCUUGCACGACAUUCAGUUCUGGGGGCGUGGUCCUGCCGUCGGCGCGAGACUGCGACGAUACGCCGGCCGUCGUCUCGAGCUCGGUCGUGCAGUCCUUAACCCAAAACGGGCCGGGUUCGGGGAACACCACCAUCCGCGUUGGCUGGAAGCGCAGCUAGCUACUGAUUUUCUGCCGUUUACGCCAAUUGUGCAUUUUCCUGUUCUCAGUCGUGCGAGCAAGUACUGAAAUAUUCAUUAGACUUGUGAAUUUGGGUAGGGCUCUGGAUAAAGACUGGAGGAAACAACAGAAAUCUGAAUCAACCCUUCCCAACAAGUUCGUAGAUGUUUUGCUUAAGCCCUAACCAGUGGUUGGUCAGCAAAAAAAUACCCGUGCCACUGCUGUAGUAUGUCCCUGGUUAAUUUUCAGUGACAAAAAGAGCUUGAAUUGCUAGUAAUAAGAAGCACCGUAAUUGCGUGAUUAA